AUUGAACGCUGGCGGCAGGCCUAACACAUGCAAGUCGAGCGAGCGGCGGACGGGUGAGUAAUGUAUUGGGAUCUGCCUGAUGGAGGGGGAUAACUACUGGAAACGGUAGCUAAUACCGCAUACAAUCAGAUGGGCCCAUCUUGGAUUAGCUUGUAGGUGGGGUAACGGCUCACAUAGGCGACGAUCCAUAGCUGGUCUGAGAGGAUUAGCAGCCACAGUGGGACUGAGACACGGCCCAGACUCCUACGGGAGGCAGCAGUGGGGAAUAUUGCACAAUGGGCGCAAGCCUGAUUCAGCCAGGCCGCGUGUAUGAAGAAGGCCUUCGGGUUGUAAAGUACUUUCAGUCGGGAGGCGUUACCGACAGAAGAAGCACCGGCUAACUCCGUGCCAGCAGCCGCGGUAAUAC
rnacentral:rRNA from 1 species